rnacentral:rRNA from 1 species
AGAGUUUGAUCAUGGCUCAGGAUGAACGCUGGCGGCGUGCCUACAUACAUGCAAGUCGAACGCUUUGUUUUUAAUUGAUAUGAAGAGCUUGCUCUGAUUUGAUUUUAUCUGACAAAGAGUGGCGAACGGGUGAGUAACACGUGGGUAACCUACCUCUUAGCAGGGGAUAACACUUGGAAACAGGUGCUAAUACCGUAUAACAACAAAAUCCGCAUGGAUCUUGUUUGAAAGGUGGCUUCGGCUAUCACUUCUGGAUGAUCCCGCGGCGUAUUAGUUAGUUGGUGAGGUAAAGGCCCACCAAGACGAUGAUACGUAGCCGACCUGAGAGGGUAAUCGGCCACAUUGGGACUGAGACACGGCCCAAACUCCUACGGGAGGCAGCAGUAGGGAAUCUUCCACAAUGGACGAAAGUCUGAUGGAGCAAUGCCGCGUGAGUGAAGAAGGGUUUCGGCUCGUAAAACUCUGUUGUUAAAGAAGAACACCUUUGAGAGUAACUGUUCAAGGGUUGACGGUAUUUAACCAGAAAGCCACGGCUAACUACGUGCCAGCAGCCGCGGUAAUACGUAGGUGGCAAGCGUUGCCCGGAUUUAUUGGGCGUAAAGCGAGCGCAGGCGGUUUUUUAAGUCUGAUGUGAAAGCCUUCGGCUUAACCGGAGAAGUGCAUCGGAAACUGGGAGACUUGAGUGCAGAAGAGGACAGUGGAACUCCAUGUGUAGCGGUGGAAUGCGUAGAUAUAUGGAAGAACACCAGUGGCGAAGGCGGCUGUCUAGUCUGUAACUGACGCUGAGGCUCGAAAGCAUGGGUAGCGAACAGGAUUAGAUACCCUGGUAGUCCAUGCCGUAAACGAUGAGUGCUAAGUGUUGGAGGGUUUCCGCCCUUCAGUGCUGCAGCU